rnacentral:rRNA from 1 species
UACGUAGGGUGCGAGCGUUAAUCGGAUUUACUGGGCGUAAAGCGUGCGCAGGUGGUUUAAUAAGUCUGAUGUAAAAGGCAGUGGCUCAACCAUUGUGUGCAUUGGAAACUGUUAGACUUGAGUGCAGUAGAGGAGAGUGGAAUUCCAUGUGUAGCGGUGAAAUGCGUAGAGAUCGGGAGGAAUACCAGUGGCGAAGGCGGCCUUCUGGACUGACACUGACACUGAGGUGCGAAAGCGUGGGGAGCAAACAGG